AUAUAUCUUCAGGGCAGGGUGAAAUUCCCUACCGGUGGUAUAGCCCACAAGCCGCAAGGUAUGAUUCGGUGAAACUCCGAAGCCGACAGUACAGUCUGGAUGGAAGAAGAUUUUA
rnacentral:ncRNA from 2 species